AGUCUACAGAGCAAUGUUCCAUUGGAUCCUAUUACUGAGCCAUCUCCUUCAUCCCCCUUUCCGCCCCCUCCUCUAGGUUUCCGAGAGGGAGCAGCAGGGGAUUGGCGCCCGUUUCCCCGCCCGACAGCCCCCCGACCCGUGGCCCCAUUACAGCGCGUGGGCGGCGAUCCAGCAGGAGGAGGCGCAGAUCCACAGGCCGAAGGAGAUGCAGACGCGGUGGCGGGCGAAGCAGCGGUCCAGGAGUCGCUGGUGUUGAUGCUGAAAAGUUACAGGAUCUCUUCCAGGAGGAGGAUGGCAGUACAGCAGCUUACCCUACAAAGACAACAUGAAUGACAACAGUGCAGCCUAAGUGCCAUCUGUGGCCUCAGAGGAGACAGCUCCACCCAGUCACACUCUGAUGGAGCUUUCUGCCUUCUGGUUAAGUUAGCUGAGUUGAGUUUUGGUCUACUGCAGCUGAAGAGUCCUUUUUCUAAUACAUCAAUGGUCAAAGUGUUCUAGAGACCUAGCUCUUCCCAUGGCGCCCCAGACUAGGAUGAAAUCUCUUUCUUCUUUUCUCGUUUGCAUUCCCACUCAAGUAUUCUUCAGUAUACGGACAUGAUCAUACUUAUGGUGAAUAUUUUCCAAAACAAAACUCAAGACAUAACUGGACAGUUACGGUAAUGCCGGGUUAGACUGUUAAAGUCAGGAGAGUUCCUCGACUCCUGUAUGUGGGGUUGCAGUUGCUCACUGGGUGCAAGUCUGCCUCUUUCCAUCAUAAAUGAUCUGAAGGCUGUGACUAUUUUUACCUCAUCUUUACAUCCUCCACAGUAAGUGGUAAACGAAUACAUGACUUAUCCAUACCAAUAGCAUGAACUGCUUUCUUCCUGAACUGAAGGCAAGCCCAUAUGGUUGCCACUGAGCUCCAAGAGCUCCACCGAUGUGGUCUUGAGAAGAGGAGGAAAUAAAGCCAAAUCCUCACAACUGGUUAUUAACAGGGCCCUGUAAUGCUUAUUUGUGGAAAGAAACUUAAUAGAUAACAAUUACUGGGGGCUCAUUAUGUGCCAGGCAUUGAGCUUAGUGCUACACACACACACACACACACACACACACACACACAGACAGACACACACACACACACACACACACACACACACACAGACAGACACACACACACACACACACACACACACACACACACACACACACACAGAGUUUUCAUUUAUUUCCCAUAAUAAUCUCAUGAGAUAGGCCCUGUUCAUCUCCAUUUUACUAUGGGGAAACCCCCAAAUAGCAUGUUCUCAUUUGAAAAGGAGAAAUAGUAAUCUCACAGACUUGUUACAUAUUUGUACUGAGAAGACGCACGUAAAACAGAACUAUUUCUAGCAGGGUUAGCUUUCAAGAAAUGUUAGCUGUUAUCGUUACUAGGCAAAUAUAGAGAUAGGCAUAUAAACAGCUAUACUACAAAGAAGACUGUGACAAUAGUUGCAAUCAUAACAAGCAAAGGGCUGUAGGAGACAAAAAAAGCCAGAUGCAUAUAUUGGUGAUUUUCACUCAUAAUAGGUGUUCAGAGAUCUCCAUCUUUUGUAAUGUCUAUAAUCCAUAUAAUGUUAACUACCCUACAUCAAGAACACAACUCCAGUUUCAAUGAAAAAAUAUUUCCUUUAUAAUCGAACAGGUUACCAUUAUCUAAGAACGCAGAAUGUGGAAAAGACUUGUGUAUUGGAGAGCAUGAGAGGCAGGGUUCACUUACACUGACAUAGUCCUUCAGGAUGUAGCGCGCAGAUCGAGGCUGGUCUGGCUGUCCAUGCGCUGUCAUGAAUCCUCGCAUGUCUGUGGAGAGAAAAGAAUUUUGCAAAAUCUUAGAUGACAGAAUAUCACAACAAAGACAACUGAGGUGAUGUAGCUUCUAUUACUAAGCAUUCUUACUCUUGGAUUUUAAAAAAUUAGGUAUCAUUGUAGAAUAUAUAUUGUUUAGCAUUAAAAACACUAGAUAAUCCAGGAGAAUAUUUACUUAUAUCUGAUAUCCUAAAAAUGCCACCUAGCACCACGCUAUGAAAGACAAAUUCGAUUUCUCUCUACUCCAGUUAUUUCUUCUCUUUAUUUUAUUUUUAUUUUAUUUUUUGUUGAGAUGGAGUCUCGUUCUGUUGCCCAGGCUGGAGUGCAGAGGCACAAUCUUGGCUCACUGCAACCUCCACCUCCCAGGUUCAAGCAAUUCUGAUGCCUCAGCCUCCCAAGUACCUGGGAUUACAGGCGCAUGCCACCACGCCUGGCUACUUUUUGUAUUUUUAGUAGAGAUGGGGUUUCACCACGUUGUUCAGGCUGGUCUUGAACUCCUGACCUCAGGUGAUCCACCCACUUCGGCCUCCCAAAGUGCUGGGAUUACAAGCGUGAGGCACUACACCCAGCCUCCUUAUUUUAAACAUUUAUUCAUGGAGGCUACCUGUAGGAGAAUGCUACGCUAUCAAUACUACUUGCAAAACAGAAAGCAACAGAGAAGUUUUCUUACUGAAUGAUGUACCUACAUUUUUUUCCCCAGUAAGAUCCCUUUAAUACUAACUCAAUUAGAAAAGCAGCGAAGCAUGGUGGUUAAGAACACGGCUUCAGCAGACAGGCUGCGUUCAAAACUCAGUUCCCUCACAUACUAGCUGUCGACUGGCUUUUCCAGUUUCGAAGAAAAUAGUUAGAAUCCUAAUUUACACAAUAUACAACAAUAAAUUUCGUCAGAUUAAAAAUCUAAAUGUUAAAAAAGUAAGUAAAUAUUACAGGAAGAUAGUUUUAUCUUUUUGGGAGGGAGAAGACCUUCCCAAGUAAAACACCAAACCCAGUCAAACCAAAAAGGAAAAAUAUAGUCUAUUAAAAUUGUCAACUUCUUUGGGGCCAAAGAAACCAUAAAUUAACAUUGGAAAAAAUGUGUAGCACAUAUAACAAAGAACUUUUACAAAUCAUUAAGACAGAACCAUGUAUAGGAAAAUGUGAUUCCCAGAAGAAAAAUAAAUGGUCACAAAACAUUUGGAAA